rnacentral:rRNA from 1 species
AGGACGAACGCUGGCGGCGUGCCUAACACAUGCAAGUCGAGCGGAAAGGCCUCCUUCGGGAGGUACUCGAGCGGCGAACGGGUGAGUAACACGUGGGCAACCAACCCCUCACAUCGGGAUACCCCGGGGAAACUCGGAUCAAUACCGGAUAAUGCGCGACGCUGUUGGGCGUCGCACCAAAGGUAGCUUCGGCCUCUGGUGAGGGACGGGCCCGCGGCCCAUUAGCUUGUUGGUGGGGUAAUGGCCUACCAAGGCAACGAUGGGUAGC